rnacentral:rRNA from 1 species
UACGGAGGGGGCAAGCGUUGUUCGGAAUUACUGGGCGUAAAGGGCGCGUAGGCGGCCUGCUAAGUCGAACGUGAAAUCCCUGGGCUCAACCCAGGAACUGCGUCCGAUACUGGUUGGCUUGAAUCCGGGAGAGGGAUGUGGAAUUCCAGGCGUAGCGGUGAAAUGCGUAGAUAUCUGGAGGAACACCGGUGGCGAAGGCGACAUCCUGGACCGGCAUUGACGCUGAGGCGCGAAAGCCAGGGGAGCAAACGGG